rnacentral:rRNA from 1 species
CUUUUACAAUGAAGAGUUUGAUCCUGGCUCAGGAUGAACGCUAGCUACAGGCUUAACACAUGCAAGUCGAGGGGCAGCAUUUUAGUUUGCUUGCAAACUAAAGAUGGCGACCGGCGCACGGGUGAGUAACACGUAUCCAACCUGCCGAUAACUCGGGGAUAGCCUUUCGAAAGAAAGAUUAAUAUCCGAUAGUAUAUUAAAACCGCAUGGUUUUACUAUUAAAGAAUUUCGGUUAUCGAUGGGGAUGCGUUCCAUUAGUUUGUUGGCGGGGUAACGGCCCACCAAGACUACGAUGGAUAGGGGUUCUGAGAGGAAGGUCCCCCACAUUGGAACUGAGACACGGUCCAAACUCCUACGGGAGGCAGCAGUGAGGAAUAUUGGUCAAUGGACGAGAGUCUGAACCAGCCAAGUAGCGUGAAGGAUGACUGCCCUAUGGGUUGUAAACUUCUUUUAUAUGGGAAUAAAGUAUUCCACGUGUGG